UACGUAGGGCGCAAGCGUUGUCCGGAAUUAUUGGGCGUAAAGAGCUCGUAGGCGGCCUGUUGCGUCCGCUGUGAAAUCCCGAGGCUCAACCUCGGGCUUGCAGUGGGUACGGGCAGGCUAGAGUGCGGUAGGGGAGAAUGGAACUCCUGGUGUAGCGGUGGAAUGCGCAGAUAUCAGGAAGAACACCGAUGGCGAAGGCAGUUCUCUGGGCCGUAACUGACGCUGAGGAGCGAAAGCGUGGGGAGCGAACAGG
rnacentral:rRNA from 1 species